AGCAGCGUGGCUCAGUGGAAAGAGCAUGGGCUUUGGGAGUCAGGGACUCAUGAGUUCGAAUCCCAGCUCUGCCA
rfam:Ornithorhynchus anatinus chromosome 12, whole genome shotgun sequence.